CCGGUUCCCGCCGCCUUGCUUUUUGCCCGGAUUUGCCGCUUUUCGCCCCGGAAAGUUAACGGCCAGAAGGCAAAGCCGAGGCCGUGGGAUCGGCGCCGCGCACACGCGUGUCCCACUGCACACACGUGUCCCACCGCACACACGUCGUACCGCACACGUGUGUCCCACCGCACACGCGUGUCCCACCCAGCACAUACACGUCCCACCACCCACACGCGUGUCCCAGCACACACACGUGUCACACCCACUGCACACGCGUGUCACACCACCCACACGUGUGACACCACACACGCGUGUCCCAGCACCCACACACGUGUCCCACCACACACACGUGUCCCAGCACACACACACGCGUGUCUCACCACCGCACAUGUGUGUCCCACCACCCACACGUGUGUCACACCCACCACACACACGUGUCGCACCGCACACGUAUGUGUCGCACCACCCACAUACAUGUCCCACCACCCACACGUGUGUCCCACCACACACGUGUGUCACACCCACCACCCAUGCGUGUCCCACCGCACACACGUGUGUCACACCACACACACAUGUCCCACCGCCCACACAUGUCGCACCGCACACACGUCCCACCACAGACGUGUGUCCCACUGCACACACACGUGUCCCACCACCCACACACGUGUCCCAGCACAUGCGUGUGUCACACCACACAUGCACAUGUCACACCACCCACGCGUGUCCCACUGCCCACACGUGUGUCCCAGCACACACGUGUGUGUCACACCGCACACAGACGUGUCCCACCACACAUGUCACACCACCCACAUACAUGUCCCACCACCCACACGUGUCCCAGCACACACAUGUCACACCAUACACGCACGUGUCACACCACCCACAUACAUGUCCCAGCGCCCACACGCGUGUCCCAGCACACCCGCGUGUCCCACUGCCCACACGUGUCCCACCACACACGCGUGUCACACCACACACCCGUGUGUCACACCCACCACCCACGCGUGUCCCACUGCCCACACGUGUCCCACCACCCACACAUGUCCCACCACACGUGUCCCAGCACACAUGUGUGUCCCACCGCCCACGCGUGUCCCACCACCCACACGAGUCCCAGCACCCACACGCGUCCCACCACCCACGGGUGUCCCAGCACAUGCGUGUCCCAGCACACAUGUGUGUCCCACCGCCCACACGUGUCCCACCACCCACACGUGUCCCACCGCCCACACGUGUCCCAGCGCCCACACGUGUCCCACCACCCACGCGUGUCCCACCACACGUGUCCCAGCACACGCGUGUCACACAAUACACGCACGUGUCACACCACCCACAUACAUGUCCCACCGCCCACAUGCGUCCCACCACCCACACGCGUCCCACCACCCACACGUGUCACACCACCCACACGCGU
rnacentral:lncRNA from 1 species